rnacentral:rRNA from 1 species
UACGUAGGGUGCGAGCGUUGUCCGGAUUUAUUGGGCGUAAAGAGCUUGUAGGCGGUUUGUCGCGUCGGGAGUGAAAACUCAGGGCUUAACCCUGAGCCUGCUUCCGAUACGGGCAGACUUGAGGAAGGUAGGGGAGAAUGGAAUUCCUGGUGAAGCGGUGGAAUGCGUAGAUAUCAGGAGGAACACCAGUGGCGAAGGCGGUUCUCUGGACCUUUCCUGACGUUGAGAAGCGAAAGCGUGGGGAGCAAACAGGCUUAGAUACCCUGGUAGUCCACGCCGUAAACGGAGGGUACUAGGUGUGGGGGACAUUCCACGUUCUCCGUGCCGCAGCUAACGCAUUAAGUACCCCGCCUGGGGAGUACGGCCGCAAGGCUAAA